rnacentral:rRNA from 1 species
ACAUCCUUCUGACCGACUUCUUAAUCGAGUCUUUCCUUCGGGACAGAAGUGACAGGUGGUGCAUGGUUGUCGUCAGCUCGUGUCGUGAGAUGUUGGGUUAGUCCGCAACGAGCGCAACCUUAUCUUUAGUAGCCAGCAUUUCGGAUGGGAACUCUAGAGAGACUGCCGGGGACAACUCGGAGGAAGGUGGGGAUGACGUCAAAUCAUCAUGCCCCUUAUGAUUUGGGCUACACACGUGCUACAAUGGCGGAUACAAAGGGAAGCGACAGAGUGAUCUCAAGCAAACCCCAAAAAGUCCGUCCCAGUUCGGAUUGUAGUCUGCAACUCGACUACAUGAAGUUGGAAUCGCUAGUAAUCGUAGAUCAGCAUGCUACGGUGAAUACGUUCCCGGGCCUUGUACACACCGCCCGUCACACCACGGAAGUCGGGAGCGCCCAACGCCAGUGACCUAACCUUCGGGGAGGAGCUGUCUAAGGCGAAAUCGAUGACUGGGGUGAAGUCGUAACAAGGUAGCCGUAUCGGAAGGUGCGGCUGGAUCACCUCCUUU